rnacentral:rRNA from 1 species
UACGAAGGGGGCUAGCGUUGCUCGGAAUUACUGGGCGUAAAGCGCACGUAGGCGGCUUUCUAAGUCGGGGGUGAAAUCCUGGAGCUCAACUCCAGAACUGCCUUCGAUACUGGAGAGCUUGAGUCCGGGAGAGGUGAGUGGAACUGCGAGUGUAGAGGUGAAAUUCGUAGAUAUUCGCAAGAACACCAGUGGCGAAGGCGGCUCUCUGGGCCUUUCCUGACGCUGAGACGCGAAAGCGUGGGGAGCGAACCGG